AAAUAGUACAAUGGAUGUCCCAGGAAACCAGUCUAUGCCUUUCACGUACACUGACCUGGAUCAAGUUAUUAAAAAAAAAAAAAAAAAAUCAGCCCCUCCAGCCCAAAAGGAAGUUUGCCUACAUUCUAUACACCAAGAGGCUCCUAUGUCCAACCAAUCACCAGCAUCCGGAGGCUUUCUCCUGCAAAGGUACUUAAGCGUCAGAAGAAGGAAGUCUUUUCAAAGGUGGAAGCUAACGUUUCACGCGGAACAUCCCACUUGCUGGGAAAGAGCUCAGCGGUUUUAUGUCAGAGGGCAGCAGGGGGUGAACCCCACACCCAUUGCAGCCUGAUGGAGGCCUCUGGCUCUGACACCCCGAGGCCCAGAACUGGCUGAGGAUCUGGGAAGCCAUCUGACCUCUCGGUUUGGGUCCCCACCUCGUCACAUGAAAAUCGGAUUCUUAAGACUCUUCCCUUGACCAGUGGAAACUUUGGAGGUGAAAGAGUUACAGAAAGAAAAUGGUUAUUAAGAAGAUGCCAACACCUCCCCCACUGCCAGUUUGGGCAGUUUGGGAACCAUAAUGGGCUAAGUUCAAUCAGAAGUUCUGAAAGUGGGGUUCCAGAAUCAGCAGCCUUAGCAUCACCUGGGAGCUUGUGAGAACUAUCAGUUCGCAGGCUCCACCUGAGAAUUCAGGGCCUAGUGAAUCAGAACUUCUAGAAGUGGUUUAAGUGCCCUCCAGGUAAUUAUGAUGGCCCACGGUUUGAGAAUCACUGGGGCAAAUAGUCGUCCUAAUUUAUUAUGGGCGCUGACGGCAACCUGGGGCAUCUGAGUUCUCUGGGCCCUGAUUUAGACUGCAAAUCUUGCACUUUCAAAAAGCAAGUCAGACUGCUGAGUUGCUUAGGUUUUUAUUGCAAAUUCUUCAGCAUUGGGAACAAAAUUCUUCAGUUUUCAGAGGGCUGCUCAGGCAGUGCAAACCCAAGCAUUCUGAAAGGAGCCCAUGGCCAUGAUUCUUCCUGGAAGGUCGGUAGUACUCAUGCAAGUCUGCCGUGGGGGCAGAGCAGCAGCCAAGAGGGAGGAAGAGGUGAGGCCCCCGAAAGUCCCUUGCUAGGAAAGGAAGCAUAAACAUCACCGAACUACCCAUCUCCUGGUCUGAUACAAGAUACAACUAUGGAAAGCUGUCAUUUGAGGAGAGUUCCCUCUGUGGGAAAAGGUUCUUCAAACGCGGAAAAGACCAGAAGCAACAAUGGAAGAAGACAAGCUGCAUUUGCAGAGCAGCUACUGGAUGCUUUCACCUGCAUAAUUAAACACAUUUUGUUGAUUAAAAAAACCCCAAGUCUCUGAGAGGUUAAGGAACUUGUCUGACGACCCACAGCUGGUGGUGGUGUCUCUGGGAUUCUCACUUUUCCAUUGACCAUAACAUGCAUCUGGUCUAAAUUGAGCAGACCACCCAAGAGGACUGUGGAGUAAAGAGAAGUGGGAAGGGGGCGGGGGGUGGGGGGAGAGGAAUGGGCAUAGAAUUAAAAGGUAGAAUCUCUACAGGGAUCAAAGGACGAAGCUGAAAGAGCACGAAAAUAUGCAUCAUUUUUUUAUAUGUUGCCUGAUGCCCAAAAUUAGGAUGCCUUUGUGGUAUCAACUUUGACAUUUAAAGAAAGGGCAUAAGAUUAGACCAUCCAACCAUAAGUGGAAGGAAGAAACAAAAUGAAAUAAAACCUUAGAAUUCUCUUUGAAGUCGAUCAAGUGUCAGGGCAGAAACUUGGUCUCAGGAUGGUGGCUUCUUUUACAGACUCUCUUUGUCCUUGUCCAGAACAAUUUUUCACUGUGGGUCUGGAGAGUGGCUUACAAUAAACUCACUGCAGAGCCCCAACGGGGCCCACCCCACGUAAACCCUCCCCCGUUUCUGCAGAUUAUUGAAGACGAUUGGAUAAAAAGGUUUGUUUUAUGAUCUCUGAUGGUUGUGUCCCCAGGACGAUAGAGUUUUGAGGCCGUUUACCAAUAUAGAGUUUUGAGGCUGUUUACCAAUAUAGUUUUGAGGCCGUUUAUCACUGAACUGGCAGUAACUUGAGGCCCAGCGGUAAGCCUGCUAAAUGGGUUCAGCAAAGUUUUUGGUUCAACCUUGAAGGAACAGUUUACGUUGGAGGAACCCACCAGGCCUGGGUAGGAACACAGUUCCAGCACAGGCCCGGAGGCUGGCACUCCUGACUGCACAACCAACAGCUUGUUAUUAUUACUGUUACUGUUUUAACCUCUUGAUCAUGCAGCCCUACAAAGUCAGGGUGACAAAAGAGCUGGGUUUCUGUUUCUAGCUUAGCUCUAAAGCGAUGAGGACUGAGAUGUUCUUCCCAGGUUCUCAAUGAGCAGAAUGGAGUCCCCGCCCCCCCCUUCCCCCCCCCCCCAGCAUUUAACUAUUGAAAAAAUACAUGUGUUGCUGAUUCUCCCCCUGAUCCUGGGAAAUAUUUGAAACAGUGCAUAAAAGUAGAAAGAACCAAAAAAAAAAAAAAGCGCAAUAUUUAUUUUUAAACGCUCAGAGGCAACCAUGUUAAUAUUUUGAUGUGUUUUUGUAUUUCCCCCAACUUUUUCCUCUGUCGACAAUAAUCUGCUUUCCAUGGUCAUGGUUAUGUUCCAUACAGGACAGUAGCACUGUUUCUAAGUGACACAAGAGAGUAGGAAGUUUCAGCCUUCCAAAUGCAUCCAAGUUAGUUUUGGGGUCAAGUGACAGCCUUACGGGAAUAUAUCUGCCAGGCCCUGAGGUUCUGUAGGAGUCUUCUAGCAUCCAGCAGGGAGCGAGGUCCACAGUUGCAGCAGAGUAAAUGUUUGCUGAGCAGAACUGCCUACAGCAUUGGCCGUGAUGAAUCCUAGCCUGACCCAGUAUCCUGUAUGACCCGAGAAGAGAGGGGGAAAAAAGAUGGCCCUACAGUGGACGGCUUCUCCCAGCUACAGGAAAGGAGCCUCCAGUGACGACGAAAGAAAGGGUUAAAGUUGGCGGUCCAGCGCCAAGACUGGAUGCACCGACCACAGGAAGGUCAGGCUUUCAAGGUCUUACUUGGGGGGUAAGAACAACAAAAAUACCAUUUGUCCUUACCAGUGCUUUGAACGCAGUCACCAUAGGUCCCUCCAGUGGAAACACAACUUUGAGAGUUAUGCUUUUCCUCUGCCUUUGAUGUAAAUUAUAGAGUCCUUUUGAUCCCUUUGUUGUGAUUAAUCCUACCAGCAAAGCAACUCUAAAUUGGUUAAAAGUUCAUUAGUGUGCAACAAUAGGAGCUUGAUUAAAUAAAUUAUGGUACAUCCAUACCAUGAAUACUAGGCAGCCAAUAACAAUCAUGCCGUCUUAGACUGCCUAAUCACACAGAGAAAGGCUUACAAUGUAUAGUGAAGAGGAGGGGCAAAAAAGCAGUUUCUAGAACAGUACUCACACAAUAAUUGUGUUAGACAAGAAUUAUAAGUGAUUUUUAUUUUUAUACCCUGUCAGGUUUUCUGUUAGGAAAAUGUUACCUUGAGUAAAUAUUACUUUUUAAAACAUGCUCUAAAAAACCAAGUCUUUGAAUUGUCCAAAAAGAGAAAAAAGGAGAAACAAAAGGACAAGAAAAGGGGGCCUGUUGUUUUCAAGGAUUCCAGAGUUGUGAUGAAGACUGAGGCUUCCCCUCAUUUCUAGGCAUCUGGUGGCAUUUCUAGGCAGAGAAGGAAGCACAAGGCAGGUCCCUGGGCCUUCCGCAAGCAGGCACAAGAGCACAGGUACCUCGUGCUGAAAGCACCUGACCCCACCUGGGGAGGGGAUGGAAGGCUUAUCAGAGGUGAGGGCUCCGAGCGGCCCAGGCAGACAGGAGGGGAAUGGCUUCCAGGGUAGAGGCCCAGAGAGAUCAAAGAUUGAAUACAUCAUACCCUGAAGUUCCAUUUCUAAGGCUUCAUCUCAUGGAAGGAGUCACAGCUUUGUACAAAGAUUGAUCUGAAUGGUUAGCUUGAAGGGCUCAGAGUAGCAAAAAUUAAAAACAGCUUCUAUGGUAAACAUUUAGAGGAUUCAUUAAACUAGGAGCCCCCCCGCGCCCCAUCCCAUUAAGCGUACUUCAUCUGGACGGACGUGGAUGGGAUGUAGUGAGUUCAAGGGAGGCCCUGGCCGUGUCUGGGAUCGGGGCCAUUUCCACCUGAGCCCACCUUAUGCUGUGGCAUGUGCAUAGACAUCCUUAAGGAGCAGCAGCUCUCCUUUCAAGACCCGGACAUAGCAUGAACAUGAACAAACUGGGUUUAGCUACAGGCUCAGCAGCUGGGCCAGCUUUUCAUGGCUUCCACAGAGAGCUCCCACAUCCCACAGAAGGCCCUCCUGGGCACUGACCACGGUCCAAGAAUGCUCCAAUUUACCGGGAACAGCCUGUCUGUGCUGCACGCCCCUGCUCUCUGUGGCUUUUCUCCAGGGCCAGCCCUAUCUUGAACUCGAGAGAUGAGUGGAAAGCCACCAUCAUUUGCCCUCACAGGUUGUCUUCUCCACAGGGCUGCGAGAAGACCCCAGCCCCAGAGGCCCGCGCGGCAUCUGCUCCCAUCCCAGUGGCCCGAAGGACACAUGGGCUGCAAGUGGUUUGACAGCUGCUCCAGGAAUGAGGUCAUCACAGCGAAGAUUGCAUAACUGAUGCAGAGGCCUAUCUUGUGUUAUACUGGGAGACAGGCCAACGUUUCCAUUUAUAGACAAGAGCACUACCGCGCUGCCAAAUGGAGCUCUCUGCUGCAAGCACUACAAGACGGGAGGAAGGGAAGGAAGGCUCCGAGCGUGAGGGCGAGCUGUGAACAGAGGCGGGCGCCCUCCCCGUCCGCUGGGCCGCCUUGGAGGGGGGCUGGCUGCCUGCGAAGAGCCACUUCUACAAAGCUGUGUGCGCUCGGCCCUUGGUUCUCGGGCGCUCGGGCUCCCCUGGCACCAGGAGACGCUGCCAGGGGGAGGGUCUGGUCUGUCCGGUCAGCCUGUUCGGCAGGUUUUCAGACUGCUGAGCCUGUGUGCGGGCAAGCCAGGUGUGAGCACCCCGAGGCCCCGACGGGGGGGGGGGGCUGGCCUCGCCGCACUCCGGAGGGCCGAAGCCAGGCCAGCCGUCGUGGCACUGGAGGAGGCCAGGACUCCGGGGAGGGCAUGAGAAAGUAGGAAAGAAGGAGCAGCAUGUCGAAAUCUGGGUUGGUGCAUCACUUAUUUAGAGAUUUUGGCUGAGAACCAGGUUCUCAGAGGAAGCAAGUCUAGAAGAGGGGCUCCCACAGGGCCAGGGAGGGCUUCUGGGCGGCAGGGAGGCCCUGGACCUUACGUCCUCAGUGGUGGUCGGGUUUAGAUUGUUAGAUACAUUCUGCACACGGGGUUUUAGGGAGGGUCACUGAGAAACCCUGACAGAUCUGAAAGAUACCUUCUAUUUUAUGUUGUUGUUUUUUUUAAAGAUUUAUUUAUUCAUGAGAAACGCAGAGGGCGGGGGGCAGAGACACAGGCAGAGGGAGAAGCAGGUUCCGUGCAGGGAGCCCGAUGCGGGGCUCGAUCCCAGGACCCCAGGGUCACACCCCGAGCCGAAGGCAGACGCUCAACCGCUGAGCCACCCAGGGGUCCCUAUUUUAUGGUCUUAAGUUGUACCCUUAAAAUACCAGAUCACGUGGCUCUAAGUCUAUUAUGAAUUACUACUCUUUAUCAGUCCCAUGCUUAUCUCGUGAAUGGUGUAAUAGCACCAUGCUAUCUUUAAAAAUAAAAACAUCAUGUUUUUUUGGGA